rnacentral:rRNA from 1 species
GAUGAACGCUGACAGAAUGCUUAACACAUGCCAGUCAACUUGAACUUCGGUUUGGGUGGCGGCCGGGGGAGUAACGCGUAAGGAACUUGCCUCACAGCAAGGGACAACAUUUGGAAACGAAUGCUAAUACAUGAUAUUAUGAGUAUAUGGCAUCGAAUAAUUAUGAAAGCUAUCGGCGCUGUGAGAGAGCUUUGUGUCCCAUUAGCUAGUUGGAGAGGUAACAGCUCACCAGGGCGAUGAUGGGUAGCCGGCCUGGGAGGGUGACAGGCCACAGGGGCACAGGGACAGGACCAGUAGUGAAUAGGGGACAAUCAGUGGGAGACAUUGCAAAAGGGACCGAGAGUGUGAUCAAGGAAUUCGGUUUGCAAAGUGAAUUUUUUCGGAAUGAAAAGUGCUUUCAGUAGGGAACAAAAAAAUGACGGUACCAAAAGAAGAAGCGACGGCUAAUUACGUG